CUCGGCGCCCUGGCGCUGCUCCUGCUGUCCAGCCUCUCCCGCUGCUCAGGUAGCGGCCCAGCCGGGGCUUCUUUCUUGCGAGCCUCUGACCCACGGCAGGUGGUGUUGGGGGCAGGAGGGAUGCGGGGGUCCGGCCUUUCAGGGUCCGUCGCUGCGGGCCGGGCCUUCCCCCGAGAGGCAGGCGGCCUUGGGACGGGGGGACCAAAGCACCUCGCGCACGUUUACCGGCAGCCAGGCUUUUCCUUGUCUGCCCAUACGAAGAGGAGUCCCCGAGCCUCCAUGGUGCGCCCGGCCCCCAAGCUGCAGCACGGAACGUGACACAUGUCCCGGCUCCCGCUCCCUGCGGGGUCGGACCGGAGCGAAGCUCUGUAGCGCUGAGCGAUCGCGGCCAAAAACGGGGCUGGAGGAGCCACAUAAGCUAGGAAGGGACCUCAGUGAGGAGAGGGAGCAAGAGCGGGGCGAGUUAGAUGGGGAGCCAAAGGUGCGCAGGGCCUUGAGUGCCAGGCCGAAGACUGGCUUUUCCGGAGGGCCCUGCCUUACCCUUACCAGAGUUUUCGGCAGAGCCGACCAGGGGUCCCGUCGAUUUGCAUUCGUGAGGGGCUGAGGUCUGAACUCCAGAGUGUGUUUAGGAGGUGGCUGCAGCAGCCAGCCCCGGGCCUCCGUGUCAUAGGUCCAAGUGUUGGCAUGUAUUGUCCAGUGAAUCCAGCCCCCACCUGUCCCCAGUUCGCUCUUCCUGCACACCUCCAGAAAGCCGGCCUUGCCCCUCCCCA
rnacentral:lncRNA from 1 species